GACGAACCGUGCGAACGUUGUUCGGAUUCACUGGGCUUAAAGGGCGCGUAGGCGGACUCGCCAGUCUGUGGUGAAAGCCCCCAGCUUAACUGGGGAAGUGCCGUGGAUACUGCGAGUCUGGAGGAGGGUAGGGACAUCUGGAACGCUGGGUGGAGCGGUGAAAUGCGUUGAUAUCCAGCGGAACUCCGGUGGCGAAGGCGAGGUGCUGGACCCUUUCUGACGCUGAGGCGCGAAAGCCAGGGGAGCAAACGGG
rnacentral:rRNA from 1 species